UGCACCCUCAUUGUGGAAAAGCUGCAGGUA
rnacentral:piRNA from 1 species